rnacentral:rRNA from 1 species
AUUAAACGCUGGCGGCAUGCCUUACACAUGCAAGUCGAACGGUAGCGCGGGGCAACCUGGCGACGAGUGGCGAACGGGUGAGUAAAGCAUCGGAACGUGCCCUGGAAUGGGGGAUAACGUAGCGAAAGUUACGCUAAUACCGCAUAUUCUGUGAGCAGGAAAGCAGGGGAUCGCAAGACCUUGCGUUCUGGGAGCGGCCGAUGUCGGAUUAGCUAGUUGGUGGGGUAAAAGCCUACCAAGGCGACGAUCCGUAGCGGGUCUGAGAGGAUGAUCCGCCACACUGGGACUGAGACACGGCCCAGACUCCUACGGGAGGCAGCAGUGGGGAAUUUUGGACAAUGGGCGGAAGCCUGAUCCAGCCAUGCCGCGUGAGUGAAGAAGGCCUUC